UUUGGAAACUUAGUAAGUCAUUCAUUAAGAAACCACAUUCUGUCUUUGGAUUUAAGCCAAAGACAUUAGAAGCAGAUCAUUUUGUCCAACAUUCAAAUCCAAUGUGAAUCAUAAGGAAUCCAAACGUUGUUCCUUCUAAAGCUCAAAGAACCAGAAACGUUUUCCUCUCAAUUUCAAGGGAUUCAGUCAAAAUUUCGUUCAACAUAUUUCAUGGAAGCAGAAGCUUCAUUUUGUUCAAAUAAUUCCAUGAAUAGGUAUGUUAAGGCUAUCCCUUCUUUCUUUUGGCAUGAUCCAUACAAUACGAACAAAACUUGCAAAUGCACAAAUUCCAUAAAUGACUGUAUUCAUAGAAGUAUUAGAGAUAUCUAUGUUCCUGAAUUUCCAUGUAUCAUAAUAUUUUAUCAUCUAUUCAUGGGUCUCAAAAAAAUAUGAAAGUUGAGAAAAAAAAGUUUAUUUUAUGAUAUUGCUCAAGACAAAAUGGUCUUAUGAAAUUUUGAAUGAUUUUAUUAACGUACUUUUCAUGCAUUGCAUUCAUGUGCAUUGACCCAUGACCAGAUGGCAUUAUAUACGCAUAUAUAUGUAAAUAUAUGUUUCUGGGAUAUGGGAAAAGUUUACGGCGUUAUAUAUGCACCACCACCUGAUCAGCUGGUAUAUAAUGAUGAUAUUGCCCACAGUGGUUGAAAUAUGAUUCAAACGGCAUUAUAUACGCCUAUAUAUGUAUGUAUAUAUAUGUAUAUGGGAUAUAGGAAAGGUUGUGGCGUUAUAUAAGCACCACCACCUGGUCAGCUGGUAUACGAUGAUGAUUUUGCCCAAAGUGGCUAAUAUGAUAUGAUGGGAUGCCCUCAGAGGCAAAUGAUGUUAUGAAACAUGCACCUAUGCACGACAUGACAUUUAUACGCAUAUGCAUGAUGCUAAAAGUAAUUUAUGAUUUACAAAGUUAUUCAGACUUACAAGUUGAGUCAUGUACUCUAUAUUUCUUCCAUUUCUCUUAUGUAUUUAUUUAUGUACCUUACAUACUCGGUACAUUACUCGUAUUGACGUCCCUUUUGCCUGGGGACGCUGCGUUUCAUGCCUGCAGGUCCCGAUAGACAGGUCGAGAGCCCUCUAAGUAGGCUAUUAGCUCAGCGGAAGAUGUUGGUGCACUCCAUUUGCUUUGGAGUUGCUCGUUUGGUUAGUAUGAUUUAGACGUGUAUUUUUUGGUAAGGCGGGACUCUGUCUCGACCUUUAUGACAUUUAUGUACUCUUAGAGGCUUGUAGACAUAUAUCGUGUAUAUAAAAGAUUGUACGGCCUGGUCGGCCUAUGUUUUGAGUUUAUAAAGGAUUAUGUUGGCCUAUUAGGCCCGUAUGUCAUGUAUAUAUAAUGAUGUAAUACGAAAGAUAUGUUACGUUGUUACUCGAUUGAG
rnacentral:lncRNA from 1 species